CGAUGUGUAGCUCAAUCGGUAGAGCAUCAGACUGUUAAUCUGAGUGUCGCGGGUUCGACUCCCGUCACAACGA
rnacentral:tRNA from 1 species